UACGGAGGGAGCAAGCGUUACUCGGAAUUAUUGGGCGUAAAGGGCGCGUAGGUGUUUGAGAAAGUCUUGUGUGAAAGCCCAGAGCUUAACUCUGGAAGUGCACAAGAUACUGCUCGAAUUGAGUUCCGGAGAGGAAGGCAGAAUUCCCGGUGUAGCGGUGAAAUGCGUAGAUAUCGGGAGGAAUACCAGUGGCGAAGGCGGCCUUCUGGACGGAUACUGACACUGAGGCGCGAAAGCUAGGGGAGCAAACGGG
rnacentral:rRNA from 1 species